UGGUGGAGUGAUUUGUCUGGUUAAUUCCGUUAACGAACGAGACCUCGACCUGCUAACUAGUUUAUGCAAUUCUUCGGGAUCGUUUAUGACUUCUUAGAGGGACUAUUGGUGAUUUAGCCGAUGGAAGUUCGAGGCAAUAACA
rnacentral:rRNA from 1 species